rnacentral:snoRNA from 1 species
AGAAAGUUGCACCCGGGGACGCAGAAUAUAGGCCCAAUGACGAAUUCUACUGUUUCAGACAGUCGUUGGGUUGUAUUAACCGGGGAGAUUAAAACUGAGAGUCUCAAGAAUUGCUAUGAAUGCGUUGCCCUUGUUUUCUUCGGAAGUCAAGGCUCCGCGAUGAAUACGCGAUCCCGUUUGGCUUCGACAUUU